rnacentral:rRNA from 1 species
GACGAACGCUGGCGGCGUGCUUAACACAUGCAAGUCGAGCGGAAAGGCCCCUCGGGGUACUCGAGCGGCGAACGGGUGAGUAACACGUGAGUAACCUGCCCCAGACUUUGGGAUAACCCUCGGAAACGGGGGCUAAUACCGGAUACGACACAGCUUCGCAUGGGGUCUGUGUGGAAAGUUUUUCGGUUUGGGAUGGGCUCGCGGCCUAUCAGCUUGUUGGUGGGGUGAUGGCCUACCAAGGCGACGACGGGUAGCCGGCCUGGGAGGGCGACCGGCCACACUGGGACUGAGACACGGCCCAGACUCCUACGGGAGGCAGCAGUGGGGAAUAUUGCACAAUGGGCGGAAGCCUGAUGCAGCGACGCCGCGUGAGGGAUGACGGCCUUCGGGUUGUAAACCUCUUUCAGCAGGGACGAAGCGUAAGUGACGGUACCUGCAGAAGAAGCGCCGGCCAACUACGUG